CGCUAUCACUCCUACGGGGAGGCAGCAGUGGGGAAUAUUGCACAAUGGGGGAAACCCUGAUGCAGCCAUGCCGCGUGUGUGAAGAAGGCCUUCGGGUUGUAAAGCACUUUCAGUAGGGAGGAAGGUAGUGUAGUUAACACCUGCACUAUUUGACGUUACCUACAGAAGAAGCACCGGCUAACUCCGUGCCAGCAGCCGCGGUAAUACGGAGGGUGCGAGCGUUAAUCGGAAUUACUGGGCGUAAAGCGCAUGCAGGCGGCCUGUUAAGUCAGAUGUGAAAGCCCGGGGCUUAACCUCGGAAUUGCAUUUGAAACUGGCAGGCUAGAGUCUUGUAGAGGGGGGUAGGAAUUUCAGGUGUAGCGGUGAAAUAGCGUAGAGAUCUGAAGGAAUACCAGUGGCGAAGGCGGCCCCCUCGGACAAAGACUGACGCUCAGAUGCGAAAGCGUGGGGAGCAAACAGGAUUAGAUACCCUGGUAG
rnacentral:rRNA from 1 species